AUUGAACGCUGGCGGCAGGCCUAACACAUGCAAGUCGAGCGAGCGGCGGACGGGUGAGUAAUGUCUGGGUAACUGCCUGAUGGAGGGGGCUAACUACUGGAAACGGUAGCUAAUACCGCAUCCCAUCAGAUGUGCCCAGAUGGGAGUAGCUAGUAGGUGGGGUAAUGGCUCACCUAGGCGACGCUCCCUAGCUGGUCUGGGAGGAUGACCAGCCACACUGGAACGGAGACACGGUCCAGACUCCUACGGGAGGAAGCAGUGGGGAAUAGUGCACAAGGGGCGCAAGCCUGAUGCAGCCAUGCCGCGUGUGUGAAGAAGGCAUGCGGGUUGUAAAGCACUUUCAGCGGGGAGGCGUUACCCGCAGAAGAAGCACCGGCUAACUCCGUGCCAGCAGCCGCGGUAAUUC
rnacentral:rRNA from 1 species